AGCGAACGCUGGCGGCAGGCUUAACACAUGCAAGUCGAACGGGCGUAGCAAUACGUCAGUGGCAGACGGGUGAGUAACGCGUGGGAACGUACCUUUUGGUUCGGAACAACCCAGGGAAACUUGGGCUAAUACCGGAUAAGCCCUUACGGGGAAAGAUUUAUCGCCACGGGAUGGGCCCGCGUCGGAUUAGGUAGUUGGUGGGGUAAUGGCCCACCAAGCCUGCGAUCCGUAGCUGGUCUGAGAGGACGANCAGCCACACUGGGACUGAGACACGGCCCAGACUCCUACGGGAGGCAGCAGUGGGGAAUCUUGGACAAUGGGGGAAACCCUGAUCCAGCGAUGCCGCGUGAGCGAAGAAGGCCUUAGGGUUGUAAAGCUCUUUCGCCCGCGACGAUAAUGACGGUAGCGGGAGAAG
rnacentral:rRNA from 1 species